UUUACAGUACUCACACACAACCAUGGAUAGCCUCACACAUGUGUAAAGUUACUGGUGUCUCUACAACACUGAAGAGCCAGGCAUAAACCGGAAGACGUCGCUUGGGUCUGCCAGUGAUUAGGCUGCUUCCGCAUGUAACCAUCUAUACUGCAAGAGAAACUGCGGGACGACGGUUGCGAAGUGGCGUAGCAAUCACGUGAUUAUUAUUAUUAUGACCAUUAUUGUCUUAUUAUGCGUCUUAUCCGUGUCACCCUAUAUUGUUAAUAAUUAGCCUAUUUAUGUUGUAAUAUCAUAUUUUGUACUAUUAGAAAGAGCGUUUCUUACAGUGCAUGUAACAUCACUGUACUUGGUUUGUGCUCAAUAAACAAGAGUUCGUUGA